rnacentral:lncRNA from 1 species
CUGUAAUCAAGGACCAAGCGAACUGCGGGAGGCAGGGUUGCUCCUGAGAGCAAACAGUGACCUAGUUAACCUGGCGACAGGCGUGAAAGGAAGUCUGGGUUUCCAAUCAAAAAUCGGGAGGGAAGGAAAAAAGAGUGAAUCAAUUCUUGCGAAAAGUCUCUGCGCACUUACUAGAAAGCACGCGGCCAGGAAUCAUGCAGGGCGCCUGCACGCAUAUUAUUAUUUAAAUAAAGCUGUCCCUCAGCACAAACAGCCCGCAAGGUCACGGAAACUCCUCCAGUCCCAUCCCCGGGCUCGGUCCUCCCACGAAUCUCCCCCUCCUCCCACGUCCCCGCCCCAGGCGCAUGCGCCCUCCCUCUCCCCAACCCACCCCAGUCCGGCCUCCGCCAGUGACGUCACCGCAAGGGCGGAAGGGAAGCUAAAGUCGUUACCAUGGUGACCGCGACACACUCAGAAACGUCUACUAGUGACGGUCAAGCCACCUACAACCGGUCCCAAAGCCGCAAACGAGUCAGGCAUCGUGGUAGGACCUGGCGAGUGGGGCCGGGGAGAGCGGGACGCCUGGAUCGGGAACUUGUCGCAUUCACAUUGGCUGCUAGGAGGCCUCGGCGACCACUUCCGGAUCCGGGGCGGGGGUCGCAACUCCCAGCCCUUGCUCAGAGGGCUGAACUAGAAUUCCCAGAAGCCUCUGCGGCCGCCUUCCUGCUCCUUCACUCCUGCUUCCCCCACAAAUAACACUUCUUCUUUAGGCAUUGAAGACUGUUCCUUUCUGGGUGAAGGAGAAUCACGUAGCAAUUGGGAGCAAGAUGCAUCCAUGUAACCCAGUACUGGAGGUCAAGAUGGAGACAAUCUCCACAGCCACCAUGGCCUUUCCCUGAGUGCUACUAUAACUCAGGAGGAAAGCCACCCAGAUACUGCAGAACACCAACAUGCUGAAGGCAAACCAAAGAGAAGAAAGACUUUGUGCUUGAGAGUUGAAAAUGAGACCACCUUGCCAUGUCAAUUCAGGUCUCUUAAAGUCUUCCCUUGCAGGAGAAGAGGGAAGUGAAAAGAUCUUCUUGUGAACAGGGUCUGGUGUGGACCUCCAGCAAACUCCAACAGAUUAAUUCAUUGACAGAAUGGGAUUGUCUUGUGAAAGGGAAAUAUCUUGGAUCCCUUCAAGCUGGGAACCCCUCAGGGCAAAUCUGCCUACUUCUGUCAAUUCAUCAAUCUCAUUCUCCGUCCAGUUUUGUGCCCUUGCUGGAGAGGAGUUGCCAUCAUUUGUCAUACACAAGUAUCAAUAGCCAAAUUGAUCACGCAAAAGAAACGAUAUCAGAGAUUGAAGAUCAACUUACUAAAAUAAGGCAUGAAGAAAAGAUUAGAGAAAAAAGAAUGAAAAGGAACUAACAAAGCC